rnacentral:rRNA from 1 species
GUGUCAGCAGCCGCGGUAAUACGGAGGGAGCUAGCGUUGUUCGGAAUCACUGGGCGUAAAGCGUGCGUAGGCGGUGACUCAAGUCAGAGGUGAAAGCCUGGAGCUCAACUCCAGAACUGCCUUUGAAACUAGGUCGCUAGAACAUCGGAGAGGUGAGUGGAAUUCCGAGUGUAGAGGUGAAAUUCGUAGAUAUUCGGAAGAACACCAGUGGCGAAGGCGGCUCACUGGACGAUUGUUGACGCUGAGGCACGAAAGCGUGGGGAGCAAACAGGAUUAGAUACCCUCGUAGUCC